CCUCUGAGGAGACUUCCCAGGCUGGACCUGAGCUGACACAGCUGCGUGUGUUCCUGUCUCCCCAUCCGACCCUCAGCUCCGUGAGAGCACUGACUUGGUCUUUUUUAUCCUCUACUCUGACCCCAACAUCUAGAAUAGUGCCUGAGGCAAAGCUGACAAUAAAUAUAUGUUAAAUGAAUUAAUAUAUGAGGAGGAGGCAAGAGAGAGAAAAAAGGACAUUGAGAGAGGACAGACUUCAGAGCCUUGGAGAAGGAGCCAAGAAGCUGCCCUGCAGGACAAGCUGGCAGGAUCUGUGGCCAUUUCCGCCAUUUCCUCACCAUCCGAAGGCCUGUCCCACUUUUCCCAUUGACUGCCACAUUGCUAAUAGAAGGGCAUUCAUUACAUCACCAUUUGGUGUCCACUAUGACCCCAGCUCUCACUUCUUGCCAGUUCUUGAUUUCUUCCUUGGGGAAUGUAAGCUUCAUGACGGCCGGGAAUUUGGUCUCACCGCUGUCACUUCUAGAACUGCACCGUCCAGUAUUGUAGCUACUAGCCACGUGUGGGUAGUGAGAAGCUGAAAAAUGACUGUCUCAAAUCAAAAUACACCAUAAGUGUAAAACACACAUGGAAUUUUAAGGACUUAGUAUUAAAAGAAAAAUGUAAAAUAACUCACUGAUAAUUUAUUACACUGGUUAUAUGUUAAAAUGAUAUUUGGUACAUAUUGGGUUAUAUAAAAUAUAUUAUUUAAAUGUAUUUCUCUUUUUUUAUAAACAAAUUGUGGUCUGCAAUGUGUGUGUUUAUGUGUGUGUGCCCGUGUGUGUGUGUGUGUGUGUGUAUCAGAUAGCACUGAUCUAAAAGAAAUGUCAGUGAACUUUUUCUGUAAAAGAUCAAAUAGUAAAUAUCUU
rnacentral:lncRNA from 13 species